rnacentral:rRNA from 1 species
CCUACGGGAGGCAGCAGUAGGGAAUAUUGGGCAAUGGAGGCAACUCUGACCCAGCAACGCCGCGUGAAUGAUGAAGGUCUUCGGAUUGUAAAGUUCUGUGAUGGGGGAUGAACACAAUGACGGUACCCCAAUAGCAAGCCACGGCUAACUACGUGCCAGCAGCCGCGGUAAUACGUAGGUGGCAAGCGUUAUCCGGAAUGACUGGGCGUAAAGGGUGCGUAGGUGGUUUAGUAAGUUGGCGGUGUAAUUCCGGGGCUCAACCUCGGCGCUACCGCCAAAACUAUUAGACUAGAGUGCAGGAGGGGUAAGUGGAAUUCCUAGUGUAGCGGUGGAAUGCGUAGAGAUUAGGAGGAACAUCAGGGGCGAAGGCGACUUACUGGACUGUAACUGACACUGAGGCACGAAAGCGUGGGGAGCAAACAGGAUUAGAUACCCCGGUAGUC